rnacentral:lncRNA from 1 species
CCACACAUACAUAAGGCAGCUUGAAUUUAGUAAUUGUGAUGGCUUGACUCUUGCAAAUAUUUCCAAGAGACCUCUGGUGGCUUUGGGGCUUUGGGAAGAUCAUCCCAUGAUGUACUCAACCUGAUGAAACUGUUCUUUGAAAUUUUCACUUGUGUUUGUCUAUUUCUCCCCUCCUUGGAAUGGUGAUUUAAGGGGAUAGAAUCUGGCUUGCUGGUGGGUAGGGGAGUCAGCACACUUUAAAUCAAGGGCAGCUGUCAUGUGAAUUGCUUGAUUCUAGACUGAACAGAAGAAGCAUGCUGAGAAAGGAUGGGAAAAAAAGAAGUUGUAUUUUCUGAUGGAGAUGGUAGGGGGGGAGGAUUUUUACAUGAUGGAGUAUCUAAUUCAUGCUGGAUGCUUUCAUGGCCAAAGGCUCUGGGUAGAGAUUUGUGGAGGGCAAAAUACAAGAAAUUCGACAGCUAAUGGUGAAUCUGGAGAGCCCUGAUUAAAUUAUAUUUAAAUUAUUUAUACUGAGGGUAUUCAAACAUUUCCAUUAUUUGUGGAUAAUUUCACUGUUGGAAGAUUCAGAUCCAAAGCAGGCUUAAGUGGAUGAAAUGGAACUGGAUUCUGGCUAAAGAACAUAGCAGAAAUUGAGCAUAAUCAAAAUUAAACAUAGAUGAGUAGCACUGUGUGUAUGAUAUAAGCACCUCAGAAUGAAAUAUAGUGGAUUGCUCAGAAACAGUAAAUAUAAGCAAUAAUGGACAAAUUGCUUCAGUCACAGAGUCAAAAAACCCUGGCCAAAAGUCAUCGAAAUAUUUGAAACUCAAAAAAUAAUCCACAGGAAUUGGAAGAUAUGUGUGUGUAUUCCUUAUGUUUGCAAAUAUAAUUGCAGAAGAUUUUGUGUAGACAUAGGUUGGACUUGAUACCUCCCAAUUCCAUUGUUACAAUUCUUUUAUUCACUAGUAAAUAUAAGAACCACUUUAGACUGCUGGUCUGCAGUGCUGAAACAGUAGCCUUCUUUAACAUAACAACUAGGGUUUGAAGAUCAUUGAUAGCUGGAAGUGGGGUUAGUUAGAAGCUAAUAAACCAUUACUAAGUGAAUAUGUCAUGUUAUAAGGGGCCUUUGAUACCACAAAGUUGUAAAAUGCUAUAGAUAAGCUAGAAUGUUGCAGUCAUACAGCACAGUUUGGGUAGGUGAAGUGGUUAAUGAGAUGAGAGAUACAGCUGUCAAUGAAUCAAAUCCAAUUUAAUUCACAUCAGUAAAUACAUACAGAGUACCCACUGUAGGUCUGGUAUUGUGCCAGUUGCUGGGAAGCCAAAAUGAAUACAUUGGAGCACCUGUCCCAAAAAAACUUACACUCCACUGAAAGACGCAAAGAAGACAUAAGCAAUAAGCUGGAAGGUGAUGUGAUGGAAUGCAUGUAAUGAGAAAUAUGCAAUUCUAGGACACGUAUAAGGCAUAGAGAUUAUAAUAUAAGGGAACAAGGAGCAUUAGUUUAUGCAUGUGACUUUUUCUUGGUGUGAGGGGAGGAGGGAAAAAUGGAAAGUUUUAGGGAGAAAUUUUCAUCUGAUCUGUUUAAAAAUGAAGAGGAGCAAAUCAGAGAUAUUCAAGGGCUGAGCACAGGAAAAAAUUGGGGAGCAAUGAUGUAAAUGUUUGCUUUCUUGAGAGAAGGGAGAUGGAUAAUGGAUGGAGAUCAUCAAUUCGCUUCUUUUCCAGGCCAAGUAUUAAAAAUCUAGAAUUUCAUGACUUUGAUUCAAAUUUUAGUUUUGCAUACUCAUCUCAUUAAUUUUAAGCAUUUUUGAUAGAACUGAACUGAAAAUCCCCCUCAUGCUUAAAGUUUGAAAGAACUUUGAAGUCAUCUUUGGUUUUCCCAUCACUUAUUCAACUCAAGGAAUAUUUAUGGAGAACCUACUAUGUGCCAUGUUGCCAAGUACUAUUCUAUACACUUAGAAUACAUAAAUAAAUGAGACUGAUAUCCUUGCCCUCACAAAGCUUAGGUUUUAAGAGAGAAAGCAGUAACGAAUACACCUAAGAUGUAAAUAUUAUAGUCUGCCAAAAGGCAGCAAAUGCACAGGGGAAAAGUUGGUGUAUGCCUCUGUUUGCCCAAGACAUGCUCAGUUUAUUCCUAUUGCCCCAAUAUAGAGUUAUUAGCAUCACAUCCUUAACUCUAAAAGAUGCCCCAGUUUGGAUCAGACACUAUAUAAACUGGUAAUUAUAGUUAAAGGGAAUCAGGAACAUGUGUGUGUGUGUGUGUGUCUGCACGUGUGUGUGUGCAUGCACUUGCACAUGUGUGGGGCCACAUUAUGAUAUUUAACACAGUAAUCCAGGUAAGCCUCAUUGAGAAGAAGACGUAUGAGCAAAAAUUGAAGGAAGUGAGAGAGUGAGUCACCCAGAUAUCUUUGUGAGCACAAUUUCUGGGCAAAGCCCUAGGAUUUCCAAGGAAGACAAGGUAGUUAGGACCCUGAAAGGGAAUGAAUGAAGAAAGAUCAAUUGGAGAUGCCAUCAGGAAAAAAAGGAGAAGGAGUUGGAGAGGGAAGGACCUAUACCAUUGAGAGGGAGAUGAAUCCUCCUCUGAGUCCAGUGGGAGGAGACUGGGAAAUCCUACACACAAAAGACAAUCUGAUUCAUAUUUAAAAAUCAUUACUUUGCCAAUUCUUGGUGGUAUCCUCUUUGUAAAGAGUAUACUCUAGAGGGUAAAAGUAAGGCAAGUUGUCUAGAUAGGAGGCUCUCACAGUGAACUAAGUGAGAGAUGCCAUGGCUUGGAACAGGAUGGUGGCGGCAGAUAGGGAGAGAAGUGCAUUUCCUGACAGACAAGAGAGGAGGUUCCCAUGUCAUGCAGUAACAACAAAAAAUUCCCUAAAGAACUAGUUUAACAACUCUUGGGUUUUAGUCCUAACUGAGCUCUUAAAAAAUGAGUCGCUUCUCCAACUUGGCUUCAAAGUCUUGCCUUCUCUUUCAGAGCAUUUGCAAAAUGGUAAAUCCCAUGAAAGCUUAGUUCUACAAAUAAAACCUUCUGUCUAAGAAAUAUUAAGGAUGGUUCUGAUAGGGAUAAUUCUGGUUCAGUGCAAUGUGGUAUAUUUGCCAUGUUGAAAUAGAGAAUUUUGUCAAAUACACGGCUUUCCAAAUUGGAGCAAGUAGCUAAUAGAUAUUAAAAUAGUGAAUAAUGUUGAUGACAGGACAACACAUGGAGACAUAUUAUUGUGACUGGUGGAGCAGAGAGAGUCAAGACCUCUGCUUGUGUCACCAACUGCGACUGUCACCACAUCCUUUAACCUCUCAGAGUUGAAUGCCCUUGGUUGUACAUGAAACUUCUUGGGAUUAUAGCUCUGAAUUUGGGGAUUCACUUUGUUUUCACCUCUGACAUUGCAUGACUAUGUAAACGCUUUGAAAUCAGAUACUAGGAAUAAGGCUCUAAUAGACAAUAAUGAUCCUGAACUCACAGAGCCAGUUUUAAUAUUUUAUGGUUAUCUCAGUCCUCUUAUAUGUGUGCAUGUACAACUUGUGGUCAAGGACUGAUACCUUUUCUAAUAUAUUAAAUCCAUGGUCCAUAAAUCAGAGAGGCCCAUUUAGUGAUGAUGAAGAACACAGGUAUGUUUAUAAAUUGGAAAAAAAGAGGAACUACAUCCUAGGAAUAUUGAGUAUUGUAUUAUACAAAACUUUGAGUGAUAAUAACCAUCAAUUAUUAUAAUCAAGGUUAGCUGAAACUUUACUAUGAGUAAAGUGCUAGGUUCGAUACUUUACUAUAUCUUUUAAUGCUAAACAAAAAAGGAAGAUUCUAUGUGUAGGACUUCUUUUCAUACCCAUUUUAGAGAGAGAGAAGCAGAACCACAGAGACCUGAGUAACUUCCACAAAGUUAUUCAAACCUUGACAGUUGGCCUCCAGAUCGUGCACCAUCUUAACCACAAUACCCAACUCUCUCCUCAAUAUAUAGAGAGGGUUAGUAGUUUCUGGCAAUAAUGAGAAGUCAAUAAACAGAAGCUAUAAUGAUGAUGAUGGUUAUUAUAGCAGGGGGAAUUCAAUACUUGCUAGGUAAUGAAUGAAUUCAUGAGUCAUCUACACUGAGAAACUUAGGUGAUAACUGAAAUCAGGAAGAAAUGAGCUCAUCCAAGGGUAGAGGCCAGAGAAGAGCUGAGGAUGGAAAUUUGGAGGACAGAUAACCAUAUGCCCUGAUGCACACUUGGAUGGUGUUCAACCAGAAGUGACUAUUUUCAUGACCUACAGCAGAAACAAAUGUUUCCUCCAGGACUAGUUGAGUGACUCCUGAAUUUUGGUUCUAACUUUAAAACUGCUUCUCCCAGUUUUCUUCAAAGCCUUGUCUUCCCUUUCAAAACAUUUGAAAGAUGGAAAAUCCCACCUCCAAAGAGUCCAUUGAAGUUUAGAUGCAAACAUAACUGCUCCUGUCUGGUAAAGAUUAAUGAUGUCUCUGAUAUGGAUAUUUUUGAUUAAUUGCUGUUGAAACUCUUGAGCUGAAUGUCAAAGCUAGAAAAGGAACUCUUAAAUGGACUCAAAAGACAAGAGGCCCCUCUGUCCUUGAACAUAAUCCAAUCAAAGAGACUGCAAAGGAAAACACAAGAGACAGUGUUAAAUUCAUGGUGACAUGAGAGAUCCUUCUUUUUCCAUUUGUGAAAAAGAAACACACCAGGCCAUCAUUCUUUUAGAGACUAUCCUUUGAUAUUGACCUGCCUAAAAUGCAAAAAACAAAAACACACUUUUUCUUUUUUUUUUUUUUUUUUUCUUUUUUUAGUGCUGCACCCAUGGCAUAUGGAGCUUCCUGGGCUAGGGGUUGAAUCAGACUGUAGCUGCCAGCCUAUGCCACAACAACAGCAAUGCAGGAUCCGAGCCACAUCUGUGACCUAAACCAGAGCUCACGGCAAUGCCAGAUCCUUAACCCACUGAGUGAGGCCAGGGAUCAAACCUGCAACCUCAUGGUUCCUAGUUGGAUUUGGUUCUGCUGCACCACAAUGGGAACUCCAAAAGAAGUUUCUAAAACACGACACUUGACUUGUUAAACGUCUAUCAGCCCUGCAAAACCUCUUGUUUACCAAGUCUUGAUGUUCAAAGUCAUAUUAAAACAACCAAAUAAAAGGAAAUGCAGUCAAGAAAAUAUAAUGUCUAUAAGGUAGAAAAUUGAGGGGCGUAAUAGUUAGCAACAUCUCCUGCCGCUCUGUCAUUCUAUUGAGGCUGAGAGUUUGGUCUUAGUUAAUUUGUCCCAAAGGCACGAUGGGCUCCCAAUUCUGGACUCUUCUGCAUCAGUAUUAUUGGAUGGUUAUAUUAUAAUCAGACAAAACUAAUACAUAUCAUUCGUUCUUAAAAAUUGACUGGUAUUAAGUUGGAUGGUGUUAUGAGCAUGUUACUUAAGAAAAAAAAAAAAA